CUUCUUUUCCAUGCAGCCACACCCGUGCAGUACAUAAGUCGGAAGCAGAAGUGAAAAGGGGAAGAAAGUUGAAGGACUAAAAAUGAGAGGAGAGAGGGAGAGUGUGGGAGCAAGGCAGGGACCCACCCUAAAAGAGAUCGGAAUACAAGCGCAGCUUUAGUUCAUGGCCUGCCAAAUAGUCGUGCUGCGCCUCUGAAUGGAAAAUGGGAUAGAACAAUGAGCUGGAAUUUACAUCGCCUUUGAAAAGCAAAUGCUGACAGCAGGCGUUCUGAAUAUGCCAAGUAUUGCCUUCAGACCAGAGAAGGCUUUUCUGGCCCACACGAGCCCCGUGACAGCCUGCAGAAGGCAACACACCCUACAUAGCUGUGACCUCCAGCCCUCUGAGCCUUGAGCAUCUCUGGAGAAAAUGUGUGUGUUUAAAAAGGCCACAUCUGUUUCUAGAAGGCUGAAAACAAGAUCCAAGCUCUAUGUCCCCGGAAACUGACCUGUGGACUGCUUCAUGUGGGCUCAUUUGCCCUCUGCUUCUGGCUGGUUUGGCAAUGGAGACAGAGAGAGAUGAGAAGGUGGGCGGAGAGAAAGCUGCCUGUUAAGGACUUUGGCCCAUUUGAAAAAAUUGAACUGGGAAGGCCCGAGCCUCUCUGCCCUGGGAAGAAGGCAGUCUUGACAAGCCACAACUCCUUCACUGGUAGAAAACUCACUCAAGGCAUGUAUCCACACAGCAGUAAGUAAGGUGCAGCAUUCAGAAAGGUGAGAGGAAACAGGCUGGCUCACUAAUAUUCAAGGGAAGGGCUAUGCAAAAGCCCGCAGCUGUAAGAAACCAUCUUUGCAACCUGUGUGUCCCUGACUCAUUUCUUGUUCUUCCAAAUUUGAACAGCUCCUAGGUUGGUUACAGGAACUAGAAAUGACAUCAAGACUUAACUCUCAUUUAUUGGUAGAGGUGUGGCAGGGAUGUGGAUAGCCACUAGAGUGAGUGCUACCCAUGGAAGAAGAUGAACCAUCCUUAUUAAGCCCUCUAUGCACGGGGCAUUGGGGUGCGGCUAUGUGAGAAGAGAGGAAAAUAGCUCUCUAUAAUAUGGGUUGUUGAACAUUAUGGGCUUCCUUGGAAUGAGUUAAAUUUUCUUCUGCGGCUGACCAUAAUUCACCAUAGAGACUCCUCUCCUAGAUGUAUAUUUUUGAAAUUCCUAGAAACGCAGAGUUAAGUCCACCCUGGAACCUGUAAUGGGGUUCCUCCCUGAAUUAGCUCAGGCCCCAAGGGGAC
rnacentral:lncRNA from 1 species